GGCUCAGGAUGAACGCUGGCGGCGUGCUUAAUACAUGUAAGUCGAACGAAAGUCUUCGCAAGAGGACUUGAGUGGCGAACGGGUGCGUAACGCGUGGGUGACCUGCCCCGAAGAGAGGGAUACCAGUUCGAAAGGACUGCUAAUACCGCAUGAGCUCUCAUGGUUUAGAAGCGUGAGAGCAAAGGCCGAAAGGCGCUUUGGGAGGGACCUGCGUCCCAUCAGCUAGUUGGUAGGGUAACGGCCUACCAAGGCGGCGACGGGUAGGGGGCCUGAGAGGGUGGCCCCCCACACUGGCACUGAAACACGGGCCAGACACCUACGGGUGGCAGCAGUAGGGAAUAUUGCACAAUGGGCGCAAGCCUGAUGCAGCAACGCCGCGUGCGCGAUGAAGGCCUUCGGGUCGUAAAGCGCUUUUCGGGGAGAUGAGGAAGGACAGUAUCCCCGGAAUAAGUCUCGGCUAACUACGUGCCAGCAGCCGCGGUAAAACGUAGGAGGCAAGCGUUAUCCGAAUUUACUGGGCGUAAAGCGUGUGCAGGCGGUUCGGUAAGUUGGGUGUGAAAUCUCCCGGCUCAACUGGGAGAGGUCGCUCAAGACUGCCGGACUGGAGGGCGGUAGAGGGAGGUGGAAUUCCGGGUGUAGUGGUGAAAUGCGUAGAUAUCCGGAGGAACACCUGUGGCGAAAGCGGCCUCCUGGACCGUACCUGACGCUGAGACACGAAAGCUAGGGGAGCGAACGGGAUUAGAAACCCCGGUAGUCCUAGCCGUAAACGAUGUGGACUGGGUGUCGGUGGGGUAAAAGCCAUCG
rnacentral:rRNA from 1 species